rnacentral:rRNA from 1 species
UACGGGGGGGGCAAGCGUUGUUCGGAAUUACUGGGCGUAAAGGGCUCGUAGGUGGCCAACUAAGUCAGACGUGAAAUCCCUCGGCUUAACCGGGGAACUGCGUCUGAUACUGGAUGGCUUGAGUUUGGGAGAGGGACGCGGAAUUCCAGGUGUAGCGGUGAAAUGCGUAGAUAUCUGGAGGAACACCGGUGGCGAAGGCGGCGUCCUGGACCAACACUGACACUGAUGAGCGAAAGCCAGGGGAGCAAACGGGAUUCA